AGGACGAACGCUGGCGGCGUGCUUAACACAUGCAAGUCGAGCGGUAAGGCCUUUCGGGGUACACGAGCGGCGAACGGGUGAGUAAUACGUGGGUGAUCUGCCCUGCACUCUGGGAUAAGCUUGGGAAACUGGGUCUAAUACCGGAUAUGACCACAGUGCGCAUGUGUUGUGGUGGAAAGAUUUAUCGGUGCAGGAUGGGCCCGCGGCCUAUCAGC
rnacentral:rRNA from 1 species